AGCAUUGCCAGGACACCACUCUCCAUAUCUAUACCCUAAUGCUCAUGCACACACAGCUGGCCGGAGGACGCGCGCCCGCGCCGCCAGGGACCGGGAGAGAGGGCGGAGCCGCGCCGCUAUGUAAGGGCGGACUGACGGGUGGAGCAGGAGGGCCGCGUGCCCACGCCAAAGCGGAAGGGAGAGGAGGGUCGCCGCCGCCGAUAGGAAAGCUGCUGCCGCCGCCGCCGCCACCACCAAAGGCGUCAUGCAUUUGUAAGGCUUGGCCCCAGCAUGGACCUUGAAAUGCUCAGCCCGGUCCCAUGACCACUUGAAAGCCAUAUUACAACCAUCCCAUGGGCACUUGUAAGGCAUAUCAUCGUUGUGUGCGCUCUCGUGGCGCCUCAGGUAACUGUGGGAUCUGAAAUGCUUGCUGCAUGAGUUGACUGUGCACAUGUUCUUCUUGUGGGCAGCAAGCUCAGCUUUUGUCUUGAAUGUCAUGUGGCAGUAAUCAAUUUUACAUUCAAAUAUAUUUCUCUUCAUCUUUGUAACCUUGCUUGCAGCUGAAUUAUCCAUAAGGUCUUUCUUUAUGUCGGCAAGUUUAACAUCUAUGGACCCGGCUGUUGACAAGACACUUUCACAACAAUCAGUUCUCAACAGUGCCUCCUCUUUCUCGCAUAGAACACCAUCUUCCAAGUCAAUAUUUUCCGUCUUCACUUCCUGCAGCUCUGGCUUCCUCUUACCUGUCCGCCUAGCAUAACAAAUAACAUCUGUUCUCCCUGAUUUACCAAUGCUUCUAGUCACUACGUCCAAUACACGUAAAACACUGGGUGCAACAGAUUUAUCCUUGGGCACUCCUCCCUUAACGGUUGGUCCUCUGGCUCUAACAGGACCAUUGGCUGUAGAAUUCACAGAAGCACCUUCUUCUGCAGCAUCACAUCGAGAAGGCCGCACUGUACUGGCAACGGUGUCCAUCGCAUUUCCAACCUGCGCAUUGCCUAUGUUCGGAUCACAACUAGGCGGCAGUGGCUCAUCUAAAGCAGCAGUAUCAUCUGUAUUGCAAGAAGCUCUGCCAGCAUCUUCUGGUUCAGCAGCAGCUUCACUGGCAAUAUAAUCCUCCCCUGCAGAUUCCAGUUCAGUGGUUUCAUGAACGACAGAACCUAUAUCACUAACUUCCACCACGGUGGUUAUAGCCCCUGGGUCAGUACUAGGUUUGCCUAUAACUUCUGGCAUAAUGCUCGUAACCCCUGGCACAUCAGCCAAUUCAUUAGCAAGGGAUGCACCCUUGAAAACUCCUAAUUCAGUGGUUGGCCCAUUCGCAAAAGAAUUCCCUGCUGUAACCUCCUCCAGCUUGGAGGCACCACCCAGUGGAGAAGCUAUACAUUGAACUCCCUGUUCACUAGCAGCAUCGUUGACAACAAAAGCACCAGCUUUCGCUGCAGGACCAGCAGCAGCUUCGCUAGCAGGAGUACCACCUUCUGGUUUCGCCACAGCUCCACUGACCUCAGAAGCACAUUUCACAACUUGCAGCCCGACAGAAGAUUUAUCCACAGGAGAUGACAUUUUGAACGGAAAUACAGUGCGAACCUUCGGGAGCAGGCGGUCGCUGGUGUAGGCCGACGCGCUCAUCGGCUCUGACAUCGGAUUCCGGCACCCGGCCGGCAAUGUGCCCCUUGUGCUUGACGGCGUCCUGGCCCUCCUGCGAUUGAAGGGGACACCCCCGGUGUUACAACCCCCGCCCCGAAGAAGUAAAAGCGCCCCCUUCACGGCGACGGCGCGACGCGGGCGAAUAAUGCAGUGAUAGAUGAGGGGGAAGGAGAAGGGGUUCGAGUUACCUGCGGGGCCGGGCGGCUGAGCUCGCAGAAGGCGCAGCAGUCGUCGUCGUCGUCGGUGUGGAGCCAGGACGCGGCGGGCGGCCGCGGCGGCGAGGAGGGGGCGGCGGUGGUGGCGGAGAGGAGGCGCGCGGCGUAGCGGCGGAUGCGCAUGGCGCUGGUCGGUCGCGGGGUGGGGGGCGAAGCGAAGACGGCGGAGACGGUGGUCGGUGGUGUAGGGUGUGGGCAGGCGCACGGGGGACGCGGACGCGGUGCCGAGGGGUUGGGGAAUUUCGGCCGGGAGCUCUCUCGCCCUCCUGGGUCCUGGCUGCUGGCCCUGUGCUGUGUUGUGCCCGCUCCCGUGGCCCUGGGGAAGAAAUUUCUGGUGGCGAGGUGCGUGGCUUCCGCGUCCACCCUUUUGUGCUCUCUAAUCUACUGGAAAAUAUAUAAUAGACUUGUUUGAGCGCAAAAUUGUUGCGCUGGUUGGAAAGAAAAUUUUCAUUU